rnacentral:rRNA from 1 species
GACGAACGCUGGCGGCGUGCUUAACACAUGCAAGUCGAACGGAAAGGCCCUGCUUUUGUGGGGUGCUCGAGUGGCGAACGGGUGAGUAACACGUGAGUAACCUGCCCUUGACUUUGGGAUAACUUCAGGAAACUGGGGCUAAUACCGGAUAGGAGCUCCUGCUGCAUGGUGGGGGUUGGAAAGUUUCGGCGGUUGGGGAUAGACUCGCGGCUUAUCAGCUUGCUGGUGUGGUAGUGGCUUACCAAGGCUUUGACGGGUAGCCGGCCUGAGAGGGUGACCGGCGACAUUGGGACUGAGAUACGGACCAGACUCCUACGGGACGCAGCAGUGGGAAAUAUUGCACAAUGGGCGGAAGCCGGAUGCAGCAACGCCGCGUGCGGGAUGACGGCCUUCGGGUUGUAAACCACUUUCGCCUGUGACAAGGCGUGAGUGACGGUAAUGGGUAAAGAAGCACCGGCUAACUACGUG